rnacentral:rRNA from 1 species
UGGUGGAGCGAUUUGUCUGGUCUAUUCCGUUAACGAACGAGACCUCGGCCUGCUAAAUAGUUCGGUUCACUCUUCGGAGUGGGCUGGGGCUUCUUAGAGGGACUAUCGGUGUGGAGCCGAUGGAAGUUCGAGGCAAUAACA